AGAGUUUGAUCCUGGCUUAGGAUGAACGCUAGCGACAGGCUUAACACAUGCAAGUCGGAGGGGCAGCACGGGAGUAGCAAUACAACUGGUGGCGACCGGCGCACGGGUGAGUAACGCGUAUGCAACCUACCUAUCAGGAGGGGAAUAACCCGGCGAAAGUCGGACUAAUACCGCAUAAAACAGGGGCACCGCAUGGUGAUAUUUGUUAAAGAAAUUCGCUGAUAGAUGGGCAUGCGUUCCAUUAGGUAGUUGGUGAGGUAACGGCUCACCAAGCCGACGAUGGAUAGGGGAACUGAGAGGUUGGUCCCCCACACUGGUACUGAGACACGGACCAGACUCCUACGGGAGGCAGCAGUGAGGAAUAUUGGUCAAUGGGCGGGAGCCUGAACCAGCCAAGUCGCGUGAAAGGAAGAAGGAUCUAUGGUUCGUAAACUUCUUUUGCAGGGGAAUAAAGUGCAGGACGUGUCCUGUUUUGUAUGUACCCUGAGAAUAAGGAUCGGCUAACUCCGUGCCAGCCGCAGC
rnacentral:rRNA from 1 species